CGACCGGCGCACGGGUGAGUAACACGUAUGCGACCUGCCCGUAGCAGGGGGAUAAGCGGAAGAAAUUCCGUCUAAUACCGCGUAAUAUCUUUCGGGGGCAUCCCUGAGGGAUUAAAGGAAGUGAUUCCGGCUACGGAUGGGCAUGCGGCGCAUUAGCUAGACGGCGGGGUGACGGCCCACCGUGGCGACGAUGCGUAGGGGUUCUGAGAGGAAGGUCCCCCACACUGGUACUGAGACACGGACCAGACUCCUACGGGAGGCAGCAG
rnacentral:rRNA from 1 species